GUUGGGGAGGCCGAGUGGUUAAGGCGUUGGAUUAGAAAUCCAAUGGGAUCUUCCCGCGCAGGUCCGAAUCCUGCCCGCAACG
rfam:Nematostella vectensis strain CH2 x CH6 NEMVEscaffold_3898_Cont46486, whole genome shotgun sequence.